GACGAACGCUGGCGGCGUGCUUAACACAUGCAAGUCGAACGGAAAGGCCCCUUCGGGGGUACUCGAGUGGCGAACAGGUGAGUAACACGUGAGUAACCUGCCCUUGACUUCGGGAUAACUUCAGGAAACUGGGGCUAAUACCGGAUAGGAAUCCUUGCUGCAUGGUGGGGGUUGGAAAGCUUCGGCGGUUUUGGAUGGACUCGCGGCUUAUCAGCUUGUUGGUGGGGUAGUGGCUUACCAAGGCUUUGACGGGUAGCCGGCCUGAGAGGGCGACCGGCCACAUUGGGACUGAGAUACGGCCCAGACUCCUACGGGAGGCAGCAGUGGGGAAUAUUGCACAAUGGGCGGAAGCCUGAUGCAGCAACGCCGCGUGCGGGAUGACGGCCUUCGGGUUGUAAACCGCUUUCAGCAGGGGCGAAGCUUGUGGUGACAGUACCUGCAGAAGAAGCACCGGCUAACUACGUG
rnacentral:rRNA from 1 species